rnacentral:rRNA from 1 species
CCUACGGGUGGCAGCCGUGGGGAAUAUUGCGCAAUGGGCGAAAGCCUGACGCAGCGACGCCGCGUGAGGGAUGAAGGUCUUCGGAUCGUAAACCUCUGUCAGCAGGGAAGAACGGUCACUGUGCUAAUCAGCAGUGAAUUGACGGUCCCUGCACAGGAAGCACCGGCUAACUCCGUGCCAGCAGCCGCGGUAAUCCGGAGGGUGCGAGCGUUAAUCGGAAUUACUGGGCGUAAAGCGCUCGUAGGCGGUAUGUCAAGUCAAGGGUGAAAUCCCCGCGCUCAACGUGGGAACUGCCUUUGAAACUGGCAAACUUGAGUGUGUGAGAGGAUAGUGGAAUUCCAGGUGGAGGAGUGAAAUCCGGAGAGAUCUGGAGGAACAUCAGUGGCGAAGGCGACUAUCUGGCACAUAACUGACGCUGAGGAGCGAAAGCGUGGGUAGCAAACAGGAUUAGAUACCCGUGUAGUC